rnacentral:lncRNA from 1 species
GUUCCAGGAGGUUCUCUGCUUCUUGUCAUCAAGCCCAGAAUGCCUGCCUCUGCCUCAAGUGCUGUGAUCACAAGCCUGCGUCAUCAUGUCCAGCACGUGUAGCACUGGGGACCCCACUCAGGGCUUCCAACAGGCUGGGUGAGCCCCCUGUCCACUGAGCUACACCCGCAGCCUUGUUUGGACAUCUCAAGCUUCCAUAUGUUGUUUGUCUGUCGUAGACAGUACCAUGGGGAGAGGAAGAAUGCCAGUUUCCCCACUCCAGUUUCCAGCACAGCACUUAACCGGAGCCAAAGACAAAGCUGUGCGGAGAGCCAGCCGCAGGAAACUCCUGACGUUGCUUCCAGGCAGCAGGCUCGGUUCUGGGAACCAGUGUGCACUGCUUAACGCAUGACUCAAUCUGCCCAGAACCUGCCAGGGGAGGGCAGUAGCUCCUUGCUUCACAUUCUUGUCUCUGUCUUCCCCCCCAGGAACUGUUUGCAGAUCCCAUGGAUGCUACCUGAGCUCCGGAAUGCCACCCCUUCUGCUACAGGGCUUCAGUCCCAAGUCCCACCCGGCCAAAGAACUGGGCUCCUUGCCAGCGUUCCUGCCCCAUCCCAUCCUACCUUCCUGCCAACUGUCAGAGAUAUCAUCAAUAAAUUGUUUGAAUUAUUCAAUUCUAGAGAUUAAAUACUCCCCUGCUCCCCAAA